rnacentral:rRNA from 1 species
UACGUAGGGUGCAAGCGUUGUCCGGAAUUAUUGGGCGUAAAAGAGCUCGUAGGCGGUCUGUCACGUCGGCUGUGAAAAACCCGAGGCUCAACCUCGGGCCUGCAGUCGAUACGGGCAAACUAGAGUACUGCAGGGGGAGACUGGAAUUCCUGGUGUAGCGGUGAAAUGCGCAGAUAUCAGGGAGGGAACACCGGUGGCGAAAGGCGGGGU